AUUACCUCAUGACUACCUUGUGACUGUACUUUUACACUUCCUGGUUUCUGGAAUCUGGAUUGACUGGUUUCAGUAACUCAUGGCCUAUACCUAAAAGGAGAAAUGUUAGGCCUUAGUUUUAGGGUGAAAGUAUUUUGGUCUUAUUUCUAAGAUGGCUCAUUUUGGUUUCACAUAUCCUCUUACCUGACUGCCACUUCUCUCCAGGAGUCUUCCGUGGCUCUAGAAUGUCCUCUUACCUGACUGCCACUUCUUUCCAGGAGUCUUCUGUGGUUCUAGAGCAUCCUCUUACCUGACUGCCACUUCUCUCCAGGAGUCUUGCGUGGUUCUAGAGCGUCCUCUUACCUGACUGCCACUUCUCUCCAGGAGUCUUCCGUGGUUCUAGAGCGUCCGCUUACCUGACUGCCACUUCUCUCCAGGAGUCUUCCGUGGUUCUAGAAUGUCCUCUUACCUGACUGCCACUUCUCUCCAGGAGUCUUCUGUGGUUCUAGAGCGUCCGCUUACCUGACUGCCACUUCUCUCCAGGAGUCUUCCGUGGUUCUAGAGCAUCCUCUUACCUGACUGCCACUUCUCUCCAGGAGUCUCCCGUGGUUCUAGCACAGUGGAUUCACAGCACAGUCUCUGAAGUUUGCUAUAAAUCGUUUGCCUUCCAACCAGAUGCACAUUAAUGCAGUGAAGUAUACAGGAUAAAUUAUCUAUGCCUUAACAACCCAGAAAGACCCUUCAAGGCUAGAGCAGAAGGGGCAGGAAGAAUCUAAGGGCCAGAGGGGAGGUAAGCUGAACAAAGAAGUCUCCAGGGUGACAGCCACUACAGCCACUAGACUCUCCACCCACUGCAGCAGUAGUCACCUUCCCAAAACGAGACUUCAGCAAGGUCCCACAACCCGAGGGACUGUUGGCAGGUAGGCCUACCCUACUCCUGUGGGCCAGAAUAAUGGCCUGCACUGACUAAGGAAGAAGGCAGCUGAGCAGCAGCAUUCAGCACCCUGCUUCCUGACUGCACCAUCCUGCUGCAUCACACUCGGGCCACCAACACUUCCAGCACGAUGGACUAUACCUUUCCAGCCACAAGCAAUGUAAACGCUUUCCCCUUAAACUGCUUAUAAGGUAUUUCAUCAAAGCAAUGAGAAAGAUAAUUACUAUUCAUACCUUCCACUCCAAUGACAUGAAUUCCUUUUUCUACAGAUUUUACCUAUAAGAAAUUUCUUCACUGAGAGUUUGUCUUUUUAUUAUUUUCCAAGUUUGUGCUUGGCCUUUAUUACACACCAACAUAUGGAAAACAGUAUACUCUAACAACUGAUAACAGCUAACUCUACUACUAGUUAUGAUGUAUGACCGUGGAGCUCAAGAAAGGGUAUACUAUCCUUUCUUUACCCUAGAAGCCUCUGUCCUCAGAACUCAAACCUGGGCCACAUCUGUAUCCACAUUUUUCACUCUGCAAUACCUGUGACAUCUACUGCAUCAGCGUGUACAAGUAUUUAGUGUUUUAAAGUGGGGGAGAUGAGCUGCCAUGAGAUGCUAUGUGGUCUCUAAUGAUAAAGAGAAAGCAAUUAUCUCUAACACCAUGUUAAGCACUGGUCUUAUAAUCUCUACUCUUCCUUCAAACUAUGUGGCUCCUAUGACAUAUUCAAAUAACACAGUAAAAUGAAUUCUUACUUGUUGUGGAA